rnacentral:rRNA from 1 species
UACAGAGGGCGCGAGCGUUGUCCGGAAUCACUGGGCGUAAAGGGCGCGUAGGUGGCCACUAUAAGGCCGCGGUGAAAGUUCGGGGCUCAACCCUGAAUCGGCCGCGGCGACUGUAGGGCUUGGGCACUGUAGAGGCAGACGGAAUUCCGGGUGUAGCGGUGGAAUGCGUAGAGAUCCGGAAGAACACCGGUGGCGAAGGCGGUCUGCUGGGCAGUGGACCCGUGAGGGUCCAAUAGCCGACACUGAGGCGCGACAGCGUGGGGAGCAAACAGG